UACGUAGGGUGCGAGCGUUAAUCGGAAUUACUGGGCGUAAAGGGUGCGCAGGCGGUCUCGUAAGCUGGGUGUGAAAGCCCCGGGCUUAACCUGGGAAUGGCAUUCAGGACUGCGAGGCUUUGAGUGCGGCAGAGGGAGGUGGAAUUCCACGUGUAGCAGUGAAAUGCGUAGAGAUGUGGAGGAACACCGAUGGCGAAGGCAGCCUCCUGGGCCAGCACUGACGCUCAUGCACGAAAGCGUAGGGAGCAAACAGG
rnacentral:rRNA from 1 species